rnacentral:rRNA from 1 species
GGGUAGAGCACUGUUUCGGCUAGGGGGCCAUCCCGGCUUACCAACCCGAUGCAAACUGCGAAUACCGGAGAAUGUUAUCACGGGAGACACACGGCGGGUGCUAACGUCCGUCGUGAAGAGGGAAACAACCCAGACCGCCAGCUAAGGUCCCAAAGUCAUGGUUAAGUGGGAAACGAUGUGGGAAGGCCCAGACAGCCAGGAUGUUGGCUUAGAAGCAGCCAUCAUUUAAAGAAAGCGUAAUAGCUCACUGGUCGAGUCGGCCUGCGCGGAAGAUGUAACGGGGCUAAACCAUGCACCGAAGCUGCGGCAGCGACACUUUAGUGUUGUUGGGUAGGGGAGCGUUCUGUAAGCCGUUGAAGGUGUCCUGUGAGGGGUGCUGGAGGUAUCAGAAGUGCGAAUGCUGACAUAAGUAACGAUAAAGCGGGUGAAAAGCCCGCUCGCCGGAAGACCAAGGGUUCCUGUCCAACGUUAAUCGGGGCAGGGUGAGUCGACCCCUAAGGCGAGGCCGAAAGGCGUAGUCGAUGGGAAACGGGUUAAUAUUCCCGUACUUGGUGUUACUGCGAAGGGGGGACGGAGAAGGCUAUGUUGGCCGGGCGACGGUUGUCCCGGUUUAAGCGUGUAGGUGUGUGUUCCAGGUAAAUCCGGUUCACUUUAACACUGAGGCGUGAUGACGAGGCACCACGGUGCUGAAGCAACAAAUGCCCUGCUUCCAGGAAAAGCCUCUAAGCAUCAGGUAACAUCAAAUCGUACCCCAAACCGACACAGGUGGUCAGGUAGAGAAUACCAAGGCGCUUGAGAGAACUCGGGUGAAGGAACUAGGCAAAAUGGUGCCGUAACUUCGGGAGAAGGCACGCUGACACGUAGGUGAAGUGAUUUACUCAUGGAGCUGAAGUCAGUCGAAGAUACCAGCUGGCUGCAACUGUUUAUUAAAAACACAGCACUGUGCAAACACGAAAGUGGACGUAUACGGUGUGACGCCUGCCCGGUGCCGGAAGGUUAAUUGAUGGGGUCAGCGCAAGCGAAGCUCCUGAUCGAAGCCCCGGUAAACGGCGGCCGUAACUAUAACGGUCCUAAGGUAGCGAAAUUCCUUGUCGGGUAAGUUCCGACCUGCACGAAUGGCGUAAUGAUGGCCAGGCUGUCUCCACCCGAGACUCAGUGAAAUUGAACUCGCUGUGAAGAUGCAGUGUACCCGCGGCAAGACGGAAAGACCCCGUGAACCUUUACUAUAGCUUGACACUGAACAUUGAGCCUUGAUGUGUAGGAUAGGUGGGAGGCUUUGAAGCGUGGACGCCAGUCUGCGUGGAGCCGACCUUGAAAUACCACCCUUUAAUGUUUGAUGUUCUAACGUGGACCCGUAAUCCGGGUUGCGGACAGUGUCUGGUGGGUAGUUUGACUGGGGCGGUCUCCUCCUAAAGAGUAACGGAGGAGCACGAAGGUUGGCUAAUCCUGGUCGGACAUCAGGAGGUUAGUGCAAUGGCAUAAGCCAGCUUGACUGCGAGCGUGACGGCGCGAGCAGGUGCGAAAGCAGGUCAUAGUGAUCCGGUGGUUCUGAAUGGAAGGGCCAUCGCUCAACGGAUAAAAGGUACUCCGGGGAUAACAGGCUGAUACCGCCCAAGAGUUCAUAUCGACGGCGGUGUUUGGCACCUCGAUGUCGGCUCAUCACAUCCUGGGGCUGAAGUAGGUCCCAAGGGUAUGGCUGUUCGCCAUUUAAAGUGGUACGCGAGCUGGGUUUAGAACGUCGUGAGACAGUUCGGUCC